rnacentral:rRNA from 1 species
AGCGAACGCUGGCGGCAGGCCUAACGCAUGCAAGUCGAACGAAGUCUUCGGACUUAGUGGCGGACGGGUGAGUAACACGUGGGAACGUGCCUUUAGGUUCGGAAUAACUCAGGGAAACUUGUGCUAAUACCGAAUGUGCCCUUCGGGGGAAAGAUUUAUCGCCUUUAGAGCGGCCCGCGUCUGAUUAGCUAGUUGGUGGGGUAAAGGCCCACCAAGGCGACGAUCAGUAGCUGGUCGGAGAGGAUGAUCAGCCACAUUGGGACUGAGACACGGCCCAAACUCCUACGGGAGGCAGCAGUGGGGAAUCUUGCGCAAUGGGCGAAAGCCUGACGCAGCCAUGCCGCGUGAAUGAUGAAGGUCUUAGGAUUGUAAAAUUCUUUCACCGGGGACGAUAAUGACGGUACCCGGAGAAGAAGCCCCGGCUAACUUCGUGCCAGCCGCCGCGGUAACAC